UACGUAGGCAGCGAGCGUUGUUCGGAGUUACUGGGCGUAAAGAGUGCGUAGGCGGUUUUCUAAGUUUGGUGUGAAAUCUCCCGGCUUAACUGGGAGGGUGCGCCGAAAACUGGAAGGCUUGAGUAUGGGAGAGGUAAGCGGAAUUCCUGGUGUAGCGGUGAAAUGCGUAGAUAUCAGGAGGAACACCUGUGGCGAAAGCGGCGCACUGGACCACAUCUGACGCUGAGGCGCGAAAGCUAGGGGAGCAAACAGG
rnacentral:rRNA from 1 species